rnacentral:rRNA from 1 species
UACGUAGGGGGCAAGCGUUAUCCGGAUUUACUGGGUGUAAAGGGAGCGUAGGCGGUGCAGCAAGUCAGAAGUGAAAGCCCGGGGCUCAACUCCGGGACUGCUUUUGAAACUGUUGAACUAGAUUGCAGGAGAGGUAAGUGGAAUUCCAUGUGUUGCGGUGAAAUGCGUAGAUAUAUGGAGGAACACCGGUGGCGAAAGCGGCUCUCUGGCCUGUAACUGACACUGAGGCUCGAAAGCGUGGGGAGCAAACAGG